rnacentral:rRNA from 1 species
UACAGAGGUGGCAAGCGUUGUUCGGAAUUACUGGGCGUAAAGGGCGCGUAGGCGGCCAUCUAAGUCAGACGUGAAAUCCCCCGGCUUAACCUGGGAACUGCGUCUGAUACUGGACGGCUCGAGUUUGGGAGAGGGAUGUGGAAUUCCAGGUGUAGCGGUGAAAUGCGUAGAUAUCAGGAGGAACACCAGCGGCGAAGGCGGCAUCCUGGACUGGUCCUGACACUCAGGAGCGAAAGCGUGGGGAGCGAUCCGG